UUCAUGGAGAGUUUGAUCCUGGCUCAGGACGAACGCUGGCGGCGUGCCUAAUACAUGCAAGUCGAGCGCAGGAAACUGACGGAACUCUUCGGAGGGAAGGCAGUGGAAUGAGCGGCGGACGGGUGAGUAACACGUAAGGAACCUGCCUCAAGGAUUGGGAUAACUCCGAGAAAUCGGAGCUAAUACCGGAUAGUUCAACGGACCGCAUGGUCCGCUGAUGAAAGGCGCUCCGGCGUCACCUUGAGAUGGCCUUGCGGUGCAUUAGCUAGUUGGUGGGGUAACGGCCCACCAAGGCGACGAUGCAUAGCCGACCUGAGAGGGUGAUCGGCCACACUGGGACUGAGACACGGCCCAGACUCCUACGGGAGGCAGCAGUAGGGAAUCUUCCACAAUGGACGAAAGUCUGAUGGAGCAACGCCGCGUGAGUGAUGAAGGUUUUCGGAUCGUAAAACUCUGUUGUAA
rnacentral:rRNA from 1 species